rnacentral:rRNA from 1 species
CGAACGGGUGAGUAACACGUGAGCAAUCUGCCCCUGACUCUGGGAUAAGCGCUGGAAACGGCGUCUAAUACCGGAUACGAGCUGCGAAGGCAUCUUCAGCAGCUGGAAAGAACUUCGGUCAGGGAUGAGCUCKYKGCCUAUCAGCUUGUUGGUGAGGUAACGGCUCACCAAGGCGUCGACGGGUAGCCGGCCUGAGAGGGUGACCGGCCACACUGGGACUGAGACACGGCCCAGACUCCUACGGGAGGCAGCAGUGGGGAAUAUUGCACAAUGGGCGAAAGCCUGAUGCAGCAACGCCGCGUGAGGGACGACGGCCUUCGGGUUGUAAACCUCUUUUAGCAGGGAAGAAGCGAAAGUGACGGUACCUGCAGAAAAAGCACCGGCUAACUACGUGCCAGCAGCCGCGGUAAUACGUAGGGUGCAAGCGUUAUCCGGAAUUAUUGGGCGUAAAGAGCUCGUAGGCGGUUUGUCACGUCUGCUGUGAAAACGCGAGGCUCAACCUCGCGCCUGCAGUGGGUACGGGCAGACUAGAGUGCGGUAGGGGAGAUUGGAAUUCCUGGUGUAGCGGUGGAAUGCGCAGAUAUCAGGAGGAACACCGAUGGCGAAGGCAGAUCUCUGGGCCGUAACUGACGCUGAGGAGCGAAAGGGUGGGGAGCAACAGGCUUAGAUACCCUGGUAGUCCACCCCGUAACGUUGGGAACUAGUGUGGGGGUCCAUUCCACGGAUUCGUGACGCAGCUAACGCAUAAGUUCCCCGCCUGGGGAGUACGCGCAAGCUAAACUCAAGGAA